CGAAAUUUGUGCUGUUUUUUCUGUAUACACUUCUGUACUUAUUAGAACUACGACUCGGAGAAACGGUGUCUAGACAAGUUAUUAAUAGCAUAUCUACAAGCAUAUAAAGCAUAUCAACUGAGGAAAGGCGAACAAAAGGCACUACUGCAGACUGCAUCGUAUGUCACAAAAUCCGCCCAGUCCAGCUACCCGUAUAUAAAUUUUGGUGAAGUACGACGAUGAUGAAGCAGAAUGAUGAAAAUGGAAAGAGCAACCAAAAAGCUGAUUCACUUCUGUGUAACUACGACGACAGCUUCAAAGAACGUAAGGUUUUGGCGCAAUUUCGUUACAGCGACUCAACAGAAGCGAAAUUCAGCAAGGUUAUGAGAGCAACAUUUAGCGUAGAUUCGGAUAUAAAGCUGGAUAAAAUUCUGAAUCAAUAAAAACAAG